UAGAGUUUGAUCAUGGCUCAGGACGAACGCUGGCGGCGUGCCUAACACAUGCAAGUCUUGGGAGAAAGAGGUAGCAAUAUCUUGAGUAAACCGGCGCAAGGGUGAGUAACACGUAGGCAACCUGCCUUUAGGACGAGGAUAACUCCGAGAAAUCGGGGCUAAUACUCGAUGAUGCAGCGGCACCGCAUGGUGACAGUUGUUAAAAGCCCGCAAGGGUGCCUAAAGAUGGGCCUGCGUCCCAUUAGGUAGUUGGUGAGGUAACGGCCCACCAAGCCGACGAUGGGUAGCUGGUCUGAGAGGACGAUCAGCCACACUGGGACUGAGACACGGCCCAGACUCCUACGGGAGGCAGCAGUGGGGAAUCUUGCGCAAAUGCGGGAAACCGUGACGCAGCGACGCCGCGUGGGGGAAGAAGGCCUUCGGGUUGUAAACCUCUUUCAGGAGGGACGAAGCUACUCGGGUGAAUAGCCCAGAGGGUGACGGUACCUCCAGAAGAAGCCCCGGCUAACUACGUGCCAGCAGCCGCGGUAAUUC
rnacentral:rRNA from 1 species